CUUGCAUAUGGGAUUUAUGUGUUUUGAUUAGUUCUCAGCAAAACUGUUGGUCCGUCGAUGUUGGUCCCAGAUUGCAAUUCCGUGCUUCCCAUGAUCUCAAGGCACAACAAGGAGAGGCAACUAUGGUUGCGAAGCUUGCUGACCCUGGAUAUGCAUUUCAACUCUCUUCUUCUUUCCAUUCUGCUGGUUUGGUGAGUCAAAUAUAGCAUUUUUGGACACACUAGCUUUCAACUGUCAUCUGCGACCUGCCAUUCCAUUUAGACAUGCUUUCUUUGUUUGUUUAAAUUCUUAGCAAGCAACUCGAACUAGAUGCAGUAAAGACUCUGAGGCUAAGAUUGGUUGAGGAUGUAUCUCUUGGAGGUCUACUGCUCUGAGGUUGUUCCAGUAUGCAUAUGUAUAUGUACAUAUAGUGACAAAUAGAAAAGUAGCCAACUUUAAGUAGUUCACUAUCUUUCUGUUGCAGCUACCAAAAUGAUCAUAGUAAGUUUUAUUCCCUUAAGUAUUUUUCUGGUGCUUGAAGCCAAAAGCUACCCUUAAAUUCCCCCUUGGUGAUGUUACUUUGGAGGAAAAAGAAGAGGAGGAGACGAACAAAAUGUUGUCUAUAAAUGGCAUUGUUAAAGGCCAACUUUUGAACUGGCUCUGCACUGCUCACUAUGUGGAUGAUGAGUUGAAGUAACAAUACUCAUUCAAGGAUGAGUUGUCGUCUUUUAUCCCAUUUAUUUCGCUGCCUUCAAAUGCAUUGUCAUUUGCUUUUAAGCGUCGCUUCGAUCCUUCAGACAAGUUGAGGUUCUAUGGUGGCUACGUUCAUCUGCCCUUUGGAUGUCAUCAAGACCAGGUUACAGGUCCACGGCAUGCUUACCGGUCAAAGAGAGGAUGGUGGCAAACUCUCAAUUGGUGAAAAUAUGAUAGAUGCUGUUGGGACUGCCACAGCCAUUUCAACAAAUCCAUUGUGGGUUGUUAAGACAAGACUGCAAGCUGCAUGCUCAUUCUACGGUUAAUUGUUGAAUAACUUAAUGGAGUUGUCUGUGGCCCAGAUCUACCUUCCAAAUACAUACGAGACAGUGCAUUUGAACCGCAAUGUUGGGCUGCUCCAGGGAUACAUAUGAUACCAGCUUCUACCUAGGAUUUCCACUUUUGUAAUAUGCAAGUAUAAUUGUAGGUUAUUUCAGGUGUCUUGGACAUUCUAAUCUUCAGAUUCCUCCAUUUGUUUAGAUAGAUCUUUUUCAGAUCAUUCUAGCUCAAGCAUAUAUUGAGUAUAGGUUAUCUAAAUUCAUGCUUAUUUAAAUAGUUUGGCAUAGUGGGUGAUGACAGAUGGUUGUUUCUUUCCUAAAAGUCAUUCGUUGUUUCUUUCCAUUUUGUGAAUGUACAGAUGGUUUCAACAAUGAAGAAGUCGAUCUUUGAUGAACAAACUAACAAGGCCUUAAGGAAAUUGCAAAAGAAUGCUCAAAAGAAGAGAAGGCAUCAUGAUGUGGUUCGAGCUGAAUGGGCAAAUCAUGUUAUACAGUUCUAACUUUGGUUCUGUUUCAGGUAGAUGAGUAGCACUUGGAACUGCUUUUGUGCAUUUAUAUACAACUGAUGGAAAGAGUUGAUGAACUUAAAUUAUGCAUGCAGUUGCUCUGUCUAGCUACUCUUUCUUUACCUUAUAGGUUUUUGACUUGGUGCAAUUAAAUGAUCGAGAUAAGAUGGUUUUUUGGUUCUCUCGAUCAUAAUGUAACUGUUGGCUAGGUU